UACGAAGGGAGCUAGCGUUGUUCGGAAUCACUGGGCGUAAAGCGCACGUAGGCGGAUGUGUCAGUCAGGGGUGAAAUCCCGGAGCUUAACUUCGGAACUGCCUUUGAUACAGCACGUCUUGAGUCCGAUAGAGGUGGGUGGAAUUCCUAGUGUAGAGGUGAAAUUCGUAGAUAUUAGGAAGAACACCGGUGGCGAAGGCGGCCCACUGGAUCGGUACUGACGCUGAGGUGCGAAAGCGUGGGGAGCAAACAGG
rnacentral:rRNA from 1 species